GAUGAACGCUGGCGGCGUGCCUAAUACAUGCAAGUCGAGCGAACAGAUAAGGAGCUUGCUCCUUUGACGUUAGCGGCGGACGGGUGAGUAACACGUGGGUAACCUACCUAUAAGACUGGGAUAACUUCGGGAAACCAGAGCUAAUACCGGAUAACAUUUGGAACCGCAUGGUUCUAAAGUGAAAGAUGGUUUUGCUAUCACUUAUAGAUGGACCCGCGCCGUAUUAGCUAGUUGGUAAGGUAACGGCUUACCAAGGCAACGAUACGUAGCCGACCUGAGAGGGUGAUCGGCCACACUGGAACUGAGACACGGUCCAGACUCCUACGGGAGGCAGCAGUAGGGAAUCUUCCGCAAUGGGCGAAAGCCUGACGGAGCAACGCCGCGUGAGUGAUGAAGGGUUUCGGCUCGUAAAACUCUGUUAUUAGGGAAGAACAAACGUGUAAGUAACUGUGCACGUCUUGACGGUACCUAAUCAGAAAGCCACGGCUAACUACGUG
rnacentral:rRNA from 1 species